UUUCAGCUGAUUCAACUUAAGUUUAAAAGCAAUUCUCCAGUAAAGAAGCCCCGUCUAUCUCAGGCUGGGUAAGAAACUGGAAUACAAGAAAUUCACUUGACUAAGCCUUCUCAGUCAUAACUUGUGGAUAUUAUGUUAACUGCUACAGUUAACACUGGUCAAUGACUUCUGAAGCCUUAGCGUGGCUGGAAGGAUUAUCCUGUUGCAUUGUAAACAACCACUAAACCUUCUAAAGAGAUUUCUCAUCUGCACUGUUUUGCUGGAUAUUGUGCAGUCUAACAUACCUGCAGUCUAACUUAGGUCUUGUGGAAGAAAUGGUAUUCAAGAAUCAUGUAAUCAAAUACUGGAUCAUGAUGCAUUUGUACACAGGAGCAAAUUGGAGUUAAAAUCAUAAUAAGUCUGGCAUUUCCUAACUUUGUAGCACAUGAUUCACAAUGUUUGUAUUUUUCUGUGUUUUUGCAUGUCUAGUUGUGACUAGCUGCCAUUUAUAUGACAUAUAUAUGUAUUGCGUGUGUUUAUAAAGGCACAACAGUGUAAAUUUUGCCUCUUGUUCAUCCCUAAAUCAUACAUAGGUAUGGAAUACUCAACUACUAAUGCACAUUUUGCAGAGAUCUUUUUAGUCUGAAGUCAACUGUUACUUGCGUCAGCUCAGCAAACUGACCUGCUUCACCUCUUUGGUGUUCCUUACUUGGUAUAUGCACCUCUAUUUUUUUCCACAUCCUAACAGGUUGAACUCCAUUAGAUACCAGUGAA